AUUCAUUUAGUUUAAAAAAAACAUUUUAUUUUCAUUAAAAAGAUGAAUAUAAAAUCAAUGAAUU
rnacentral:tRNA from 1 species